CCAGACACCCUUUUGGGAGGUGGAGAUGCUGGGGAGGCCAACACACUCUGCUUGGAAAAAGGAGGCAUUUCCUUAGCAUCAUCUAUAAAACCUUCCCAAACUGGCCUGCCACUCCUCGUCUCCUCAAGUUCAAUACUCGUGGCACAAAUGGCAAGAGAGACUAUUUCCUCUAAGCCAUUCCCCAUUGUGUCCCCUAUUUUGUGGUUGUUAUUGUUGUCUCCCAUUCUUUACCAUAACCUAGUAGUUUGAUGUCUUAUCUAAAAUCUCUCCAUGGUAAUAUGGCCUUAUUCAUGUCCUGAGAAUCAUUUCAUCUCCCUUCAACAAACUUCCCCAUGGCUCUCUGAGAUUUGAAGCAACGUGAGCAGAUGCACCACCUAAACCCAAGAAAUGCUCUGGCCUCCAAAGCGAUUUCUGAGGAUUAGCCUCUAAAUUAAGAAAUACUUCUUCAUUAGAAACGAACAUUACAGCUGGAAGGAGUUCUCAAUUUGGACACAGUGGAAGAACCAAAGCUCAAGCAUCUGAUGAGUGACGGAGGAAGCACUUAUCUGAUUUCCCAUGAUUUCGAUCAAACCACAGCGGCUUCUUCUGUACCAGGAGCCAGUCAUCCCAUUAUGCUGCCCUGGCCAGAUCCCACAUGGAAUUCUGUGUGGAACCAGAGAUCAGAUCUACUUAAUACCAUUUUGGGGACUAGGACUCCCAGAUGUGCUCUACUGAAAUACCAGACCUCCAGCUACCACUGUGGGGGUUCGCUGGUCCUCGCUUUUUCUCCAACACUCCGUGCUUCCCCUAGUGACUGA
rnacentral:lncRNA from 1 species